rnacentral:tRNA from 1 species
GCCAGUGUGGUGUAGUGGUUUGAAUGUUGAACUAUGACUCUGAAGACCAGGGUUUGAUUCCCAGCUCUGCCA